rnacentral:rRNA from 1 species
UAAGGAAUAUUGGUCAAUGCCCGGAAGGGUGAACCAGCCAUCCCGCGUGAAGGAUGAAGGGGCUCUGCCUUGUAAACUUCUUUUGAAUGGGACGAAAAAGCCUCACUUGUGAGGAACUGACGGUACCAUUAGAAUAAGCACCGGCUAACUCCGUGCCAGCAGCCGCGGUAAUACGGAGGGUGCGAGCGUUAUCCGGAAUCACUGGGUUUAAAGGGUGCGUAGGCGGCUGUAUAAGUCAGUGGUGAAAGGCUGUGGCUUAACCAUGGGAUUGCCAUUGAUACUGUACGGCUUGAAUUAGGAUGAGGUUGGCGGAAUGUGACAUGUAGCGGUGAAAUGCUUAGAUAUCGGAAGGAACAUCUGUGGCGAAGGCGGCUUCCUGGCUUCAGACUGACACUGAGGUGCGAAAGCGUGGGUAGCGAACAGGAUUAGAUACCCCCGUAGUCCCUGAGCGGGCUGGCAAGGCGCAU